GGUUAAGCGACUAAGCGUACACGGUGGAUGCCCUGGCAGUCAGAGGCGAUGAAGGACGUGCUAAUCUGCGAAAAGCGUCGGUAAGGUGAUAUGAACCGUUAUAACCGGCGAUGUCCGAAUGGGGAAACCCAGUGCAAUUCGUUGCACUAUCGUUAACUGAAUACAUAGGUUAACGAGGCGAACCGGGGGAACUGAAACAUCUAAGUACCCCGAGGAAAAGAAAUCAACCGAGAUUCCCCCAGUAGCGGCGAGCGAACGGGGAGCAGCCCAGAGUCUGAAUCAGCUUGUGUGUUAGUGGAACGGUCUGGAAAGUCCGACGGUACAGGGUGAUAGUCCCGUACACCAAAAUGCACAGGUUGUGAACUCGAAGAGUAGGGCGGGACACGUGGUAUCCUGUCUGAAUAUGGGGGGACCAUCCUCCAAGGCUAAAUACUCCUGACUGACCGAUAGUGAACCAGUACCGUGAGGGAAAGGCGAAAAGAACCCCGGCGAGGGGAGUGAAAAAGAACCUGAAACCGUGUACGUACAAGCAGUGGGAGCACCUUCGGGUGUGACUGCGUACCUUUUGUAUAAUGGGUCAGCGACUUAUAUUCUGUAGCAAGGUUAACCGUAUAGGGGAGCCGCAGGGAAACCGAGUCUUAACUGGGCGUUAAGUUGCAGGGUAUAGACCCGAAACCCGGUGAUCUAGCCAUGGGCAGGUUGAAGGUUGGGUAACACUAACUGGAGGACCGAACCGACUAAUGUUGAAAAAUUAGCGGAUGACUUGUGGCUGGGGGUGAAAGGCCAAUCAAACCGGGAGAUAGCUGGUUCUCCCCGAAAGCUAUUUAGGUAGCGCCUCGUGAAUUCAUCUUCGGGGGUAGAGCACUGUUUCGGCUAGGGGGUCAUCCCGACUUACCAACCCGAUGCAAACUACGAAUACCGAAGAAUGUUAUCACGGGAGACACACGGCGGGUGCUAACGUCCGUCGUGAAGAGGGAAACAACCCAGACCGCCAGCUAAGGUCCCAAAGUCAUGGUUAAGUGGGAAACGAUGUGGGAAGGCACAGACAGCCAGGAUGUUGGCUUAGAAGCAGCCAUCAUUUAAAGAAAGCGUAAUAGCUCACUGGUCGAGUCGGCCUGCGCGGAAGAUGUAACGGGGCUAAACCAUGCACCGAAGCUGCGGCAGCGACACUAUGUGUUGUUGGGUAGGGGAGCGUUCUGUAAGCCUGCGAAGGUGUGCUGUGAGGCAUGCUGGAGGUAUCAGAAGUGCGAAUGCUGACAUAAGUAACGAUAAAGCGGGUGAAAAGCCCGCUCGCCGGAAGACCAAGGGUUCCUGUCCAACGUUAAUCGGGGCAGGGUGAGUCGACCCCUAAGGCGAGGCCGAAAGGCGUAGUCGAUGGGAAACAGGUUAAUAUUCCUGUACUUGGUGUUACUGCGAAGGGGGGACGGAGAAGGCUAUGUUAGCCGGGCGACGGUUGUCCCGGUUUAAGCAUGUAGGCUGAUUGUCCAGGCAAAUCCGGAUAAUCAAGGCUGAGGUGUGAUGACGAGGCACUACGGUGCUGAAGUAACAAAUGCCCUGCUUCCAGGAAAAGCCUCUAAGCAUCAGGUAACAUCAAAUCGUACCCCAAACCGACACAGGUGGUCAGGUAGAGAAUACCAAGGCGCUUGAGAGAACUCGGGUGAAGGAACUAGGCAAAAUGGUGCCGUAACUUCGGGAGAAGGCACGCUGGUGUGUAGGUGAAGUCCCUGCGGAUGGAGCUGAGACCAGUCGAAGAUACCAGCUGGCUGCAACUGUUUAUUAAAAACACAGCACUGUGCAAACACGAAAGUGGACGUAUACGGUGUGACGCCUGCCCGGUGCCGGAAGGUUAAUUGAUGGGGUUAUCCGUAAGGAGAAGCUCUUGAUCGAAGCCCCGGUAAACGGCGGCCGUAACUAUAACGGUCCUAAGGUAGCGAAAUUCCUUGUCGGGUAAGUUCCGACCUGCACGAAUGGCGUAAUGAUGGCCAGGCUGUCUCCACCCGAGACUCAGUGAAAUUGAACUCGCUGUGAAGAUGCAGUGUACCCGCGGCAAGACGGAAAGACCCCGUGAACCUUUACUAUAGCUUGACACUGAACAUUGAGCCUUGAUGUGUAGGAUAGGUGGGAGGCUUUGAAGCGUGGACGCCAGUCUGCGUGGAGCCAACCUUGAAAUACCACCCUUUAAUGUUUGAUGUUCUAACGUUGGCCCCUUACCGGGGUUGCGGACAGUGUCUGGUGGGUAGUUUGACUGGGGCGGUCUCCUCCCAAAGCGUAACGGAGGAGCACGAAGGUUAGCUAAUCCUGGUCGGACAUCAGGAGGUUAGUGCAAUGGCAUAAGCUAGCUUGACUGCGAGCGUGACGGCGCGAGCAGGUGCGAAAGCAGGUCAUAGUGAUCCGGUGGUUCUGAAUGGAAGGGCCAUCGCUCAACGGAUAAAAGGUACUCCGGGGAUAACAGGCUGAUACCGCCCAAGAGUUCAUAUCGACGGCGGUGUUUGGCACCUCGAUGUCGGCUCAUCACAUCCUGGGGCUGAAGUAGGUCCCAAGGGUAUGGCUGUUCGCCAUUUAAAGUGGUACGCGAGCUGGGUUUAGAACGUCGUGAGACAGUUCGGUCCCUAUCUGCCGUGGGCGCUGGAGAAUUGAGGGGGGCUGCUCCUAGUACGAGAGGACCGGAGUGGACGCAUCACUGGUGUUCGGGUUGUCAUGCCAAUGGCACUGCCCGGUAGCUAAAUGCGGAAGAGAUAAGUGCUGAAAGCAUCUAAGCACGAAACUUGCCCCGAGAUGAGUUCUCCCUGAGACUUUAAGUCUCCUGAAGGAACGUU
rnacentral:rRNA from 1 species